rnacentral:rRNA from 1 species
UACGAAGGGGGCGAGCGUUGUUCGGAAUUACUGGGCGUAAAGCGUGCGCAGGCGGUUCUAUAAGACAGAUGUGAAAUCCCCGGGCUCAACCUGGGAACUGCAUUUGUGACUGUAGAGCUGGAGUACGGCAGAGGGGGAUGGAAUUCCGCGUGUAGCAGUGAAAUGCGUAGAUAUGCGGAGGAACACCGAUGGCGAAGGCAAUCCCCUGGGCCUGUACUGACGCUCAUGCACGAAAGCGUGGGGAGCAAACAGG